GUUCCUAGCGAGCCCAACCUCCCACCCGUGUUUACUGUACCUUAGUUGCUUCGGCGGGCCCGCCAUUCAUGGCCGCCGGGGGCUCUCAGCCCCGGGCCCGCGCCCGCCGGAGACACCACGAACUCUGUCUGAUCUAGUGAAGUCUGAGUUGAUUGUAUCGCAAUCAGUUAAAACUUUCAACAAUGGAUCUCUUGGUUCCGGCAUCGAUGAAGAACGCAGCGAAAUGCGAUAACUAGUGUGAAUUGCAGAAUUCCGUGAAUCAUCAAGUCUUUGAACGCACAUUGCGCCCCCUGGUAUUCCGGGGGGCAUGCCUGUCCGAGCGUCAUUGCUGCCCAUCAAGCACGGCUUGUGUGUUGGGUCGUCGUCCCCUCUCCGGGGGGGACGGGCCCCAAAGGCAGCGGCGGCACCGCGUCCGAUCCUCGAGCGUAUGGGGCUUUGUCACCCGCUCUGUAGGCCCGGCCGGCGCUUGCCAAACGCAAAUCAAUCUUUUUCCAGGUUGACCUCGGAUC
rnacentral:rRNA from 1 species